rnacentral:rRNA from 1 species
GACGUAGGCGCGAGCGUUGUCCGGAUUUAUUGGGCGUAAAGAGCUCGUAGGCGGCUUGUCGCGUCGUCCGUGAAAACCUGCGGCUCAACUGCAGGCUGGCGGUCGAUACGGGCAGGCUGGAGUUCGGUAGGGGAGACUGGAAUUCCUGGUGUAGCGGUGAAAUGCGCAGAUAUCAGGAGGAACACCGGUGGCGGAAGGCGGGUCUCUGGGC